UUGCAGUUAAAAAGCUCGUAGUUGGAUUUCUGGGAUUCUCGAACUUGUCCGCCGAAAGGUGAGCACGGGUUUGAGGUCUCAUCCUGCUGACAGUGACCUUUGCUCUAUGUGCUGAGGCUCGCUUCAGCACCUUUACUUUGAAAAAAUUAGAGUGUUCAAAGCAGGCUUACGCUUGAAUACAUUAGACAUGGAAUAAUGGAAUAGGACUCUGUCUUAUUUCGUUGGUUUUCAAGACUAGAGUAAUGAUUAAUAGGGACAGUUGGGGGCAUUAGUAUUUAAUUGUCAGAGGUGAAAUUCUUGCAUUUAUGAAAGACUAACUUCUGCGAAAGCACUUGCCAAGGAUGUUUUCAUUAAUCAAGAACGAAAGUUAGGGGAUCGAAGACGAUCAGAUACCGUCCUAGUCUUAACCAUAAACGAUGCCGACUAGGGAUCGGUAGAUCUUAUUUAAUGAGUCUAUCGGCACCUUAUGAGAAAUCAAAGUUUUUGGGUUCCGGGGGGAGUAUGGUCGCAAGGCUGAAACUUAAAGGAAUUGACGGAAGGGCACCACCAGGAGUGG
rnacentral:rRNA from 1 species